GCUCUGGGAGGCAUUCUUUGGGCAUAGUUCCAAACUCCUUCCAGGGCUGGAAUUUCAAGACCUGGUGACCUCAGCCUGGCUCAUGAGCCUGGAACUCAUACCCCCAUGUGCAAGGUGGAAGCAAAGGUGGGUUCUUUCUUUUUUAAAGUUGUAGAUGGACACAAUGCUUUUACUUUAUUUAUUUUUAUGUGGUGCUAAAGAUCGAACCAGUGCCUCACAUGUACCAGGUGAGCGCUCUCCCACUGAGCCCCAGUCCCAGCCCAUGGAUUCUUAUUCACAGACAUCAGGUCUGUCAGGGGGUGUCACCCAAAGCCAAGAAAUGCCAGUGGGCCCUGGAACUACAGUGGUGAGCAAGACCUUCCUGGGCUGGGUAAAGAUGGGGCGCCAUGGUCAACUGGUCGACCUAGGAUGUGCCUUCCACUCACACACACUUGGCCCAAUGAGGCCCUGGGGAACCCCACAGAAAACCCCCCGCCCGUCCCUUCCCUGUUUGGAGACCCUCUGGGCUGGAUACCUGACCACACAGUGGAAAGUUACCAACUGUGGCCCUGAGAGAGAAAUCUGAGGAGCUUAUCCCUUCUCUUAAUCUUUGAUUUCUUUUACAGUGAAAAUUGUAAUAACACUAGUGUGUUCACUUGUUUGCUGUAUUCUAC
rnacentral:lncRNA from 1 species